ACAUGGCUCUUUGUUAGUUUAGUGAAAUGAAUAUAGAGAGUCUGACCUGCCCGGUGAUGUUGGAAUUAAACGGCCGCAGUACUCUGACUGUGCAAAGGUAGCAUAAUCAUUUGCCUUUUAAUUGAGGGCUGGAAUGAAUGGUUUGACGUAGACUAAGCUGUCUCUUGAGAGAUUAAAUAGAAAUUAAUUUUUAGGUGAAAAAGCCUAAAUUAAAUUAAGGGACGAGAAGACCCCGUUGAGCUUGAGCUAAUUUUUAAAAUAAGAAAAACAAGAUUAAAUGUUGAAUUGAGUUGUUUUAGAAGUGUUUUUAGUGGGGGAAAACGAAGGAAUAUAAAUAGCUUCCUUUUUCUUAAGGUUGGUUGAGUUACAUGAUAUAAAGUGUAUAAUUUAAAUAUUAAAUUUAGACUAGCAGGUGAAACAUUAAUAGAAAGAUCCGCUAAAAAUUAGUGAUUAAGGGAUAAAGUUACCACGGGGAUAACAGCGUAAUUUCUUUUGGAGAGUUCGAAUUGAAGAAGGGGUUUGCGACCUCGAUGUUGGAUUAAGACAUCCUGAGGGUGUAGCAGCUUUCAAGGGUUGGUCUGUUCGACCAUAAAAGUCUUACAUGAUCUGAGU
rnacentral:rRNA from 1 species